ACGACUGAAGAAAGACGAAAAGUGGGAAAUAACUUGCAACGUCUGUUAGAGAUGGUUGCUACACAUGUUGGGUCUGUAGAGAGGCGGAUGCUGGGGUGAAGCAGCCGCAUGCUAAGGAACACCAAGGACUGCCAGGAGCCGCCAGCAACUGGGGAGAGACGAAGAAGGAUUCUUCCCUAGAGCCUUCAGAGAGACCAUGGCCCUGCUGACGUCUUGAUUUCAAACUUCCGGCCUCCAGAGCUGAAAGAGUACAUUUCUGUUGUUUUAAGCCACCUAGUUUGUGGCAAUUUGUUACAGUAUCAGUAUUUGAAAUCGCAAAAAAAUCAACAAAAACAACAAGAAAAAAUAAUGUGGCAUGUUAGUUUCCCAUUGCUAAUGUAACAAAUUACCACCAACCUAAUGGCUUAAAACAACACAAAUUUGUCAUCUUAGAGUUAUUAAG
rnacentral:lncRNA from 1 species